UCCGUAGGUGAACCUGCGGAGGGAUCAUUACACAAAUAUGAAGGCGGGCUGGAACCUCUCGGGGUUACAGCCUUGCUGAAUUAUUCACCCUUGUCUUUUGCGUACUUCUUGUUUCCUUGGUGGGUUCGCCCACCACUAGGACAAACAUAAACCUUUUGUAAUUGCAAUCAGCGUCAGUAACAAAUUAAUAAUUACAACUUUCAACAACGGAUCUCUUGGUUCUGGCAUCGAUGAAGAACGCAGCGAAAUGCGAUAAGUAGUGUGAAUUGCAGAAUUCAGUGAAUCAUCGAAUCUUUGAACGCACAUUGCGCCCUUUGGUAUUCCAAAGGGCAUGCCUGUUCGAGCGUCAUUUGUACCCUCAAGCUUUGCUUGGUGUUGGGCGUCUUGUCUCUAGCUUUGCUGGAGACUCGCCUUAAAGUAAUUGGCAGCCGGCCUACUGGUUUCGGAGCGCAGCACAAGUCGCACUCUCUAUCAGCAAAGGUCUAGCAUCCAUUAAGCCUUUUUUUCAACUUUUGACCUCGGAUCAGGUAGGGAUACCCGCUGAACU
rnacentral:rRNA from 1 species